GAAUCUCCCUUUAAGAAAUUGUUGUUACUCUAUCAACAACCCCUUAAAGGUCGGAUAACAACGGGAACUGAAAAAAAGUCAAAGGUUUUGUUUUUACACUUCUUAGGUCAAAAAGAAAAAAAGGAAUCUUAAGACGAGGUAUUAUUUGAUGAAGUAAUACCUUGUAUUAAGGAAUCUUAAAGCUCAAAUGCUUCCCGUUCCACCAAAUAGAAAGGUCUUCUUUUUUCGUUUGGUCAGAGGGGUUCGGUUACAGCCUUACAUGCAGGUUUAAAUUCGGUCAAUCAAUAAACUCUCAAAUCACAAUUCCAAACUAGUAGCAGUUUAUGGUAUGAUCUUCUUCUUUUGGUCAAUCAAUUAACUCUAAAAUCACAAUUUCAAACUGUUGAUGGUCUGAUCUUCUUCUUUUUUAUGUCCGAGAAAUCCAUGUCGAGACAACUUUUUGGGCGGCCAAAUGCAUUCUUUUAUACUCUAAAAUCACAAUUUCAAACUGUUGAUGGUCUGAUCUUCUUCUUUUUUAUGUCCGAGAAAUCCAUGUCGAGACAACUUUUUGGGCGGCCAAAUGCAUUCUUUUAU
rnacentral:misc_RNA from 1 species